rnacentral:tRNA from 1 species
ACAUUGGUGGUUCAGUGGUAGAAUGCUCGCCUCAUUCGCGGGUGGCCCGGGCCGAUUUCCGGCCGAUGUA